AUCAUGAAGUUUGCUGUAAUUCAGUUCCUGGAUGAAACGAACGAGCCACAUGCAGUAGUUCUACAAACAGCACCUGAGAAAGAAGUUGCUUUAAGUUCAUGAAGGGAGCAGACACACCGCCAGUCCUACCGUAUCAGGAGCUUCUAUCGAACCGUGAAAACAUUGGGGUGCCAGCAGACUUUAGAGCUGGACAAGCAUCAUAUUCACCACAGCAGUAUGUGGAGGACACCCUUGGAGGGCCUACAAUGAGACACUUCAACGGGACAAAUUAUGGCCGUAGAUACAGUAUGAAUGACAGCCCUAGCAUCAUGUUCACCAAAGCAGCAUGUGGAUGACAGCCAUGGAGUGUCUUUCUCUGGGGCUGAUGACACCACUCUGCUGUUCGAGGGACGCUUCAAGUGUGGCAACUUGCUGAAAGCAACAAGAGUGUAAGUACAUAACAUCCAUAAGUAUUGUCUAACCUCUCACGCUGUCAUUCAAAGUUCUGAGUGAUUUACAAUUUCUAUUCUGUGUUG
rnacentral:lncRNA from 8 species